CUUUUGGCAGGCAGAGACUGGUG
rnacentral:piRNA from 1 species